rnacentral:rRNA from 1 species
CCUACGGGCGGCAGCAGUGAGGAAUAUUGGUCAAUGGACGAAAGUCUGAACCAGCCACGCCGCGUGAAGGAAGACGGCCCUAUGGGUUGUAAACUGCUUUUAUAUGGGAGUAAAAUUUUCGACGUGUGGGUUUUUGUAUGUAUCAUACGAAUAAGGAUCGGCUAACUCCGUGCCAGCAGCCGCGGUAAUACGGAGGAUCCAAGCGUUAUCCGGAUUUAUUGGGUUUAAAGGGUGCGUAGGUGGAUUGGUAAGUCAGUUGUGAAAGUUUGCGGCUCAACCUCAAAAUUGCAGUUGAAACUGGCAGUCUUGAGUGGAGUAGAGGUAGGCGGAAUGCGUGGUGUAGCGGUGAAAUGCUUAGAUAUCACGAAGAACACCGAUUGCGAAGGCAGCUCACUGGACUGCAACUGACGCUGAGGCUCGAAAGUGUGGGUAGCAAACAGGAUUAGAUACCCUUGUAGUC